GAACGAGAUCUUCGGAUCUAGUGGCGGACGGGUUAGUAACGCGUGGGAACGUACCCUUCACUACGGAAUAGUCCUGGGAAACUGGGUUUAAUACCGUGUACGCCCUUCGGGGGAAAGAAUUUCGGUGAGGGAUCGGCCCGCGUUAGAUUAGUUAGUUGGUGGGGUAACGGCCUACCAAGACUACGAUCUAUAGCUGGUUUGAGAGGAUGAUCAGCAACACUGGGACUGAGACACGGCCCAGACUCCUACGGGAGGCAGCAGUGGGGAAUCUUAGACAAUGGGGGCAACCCUGAUCCAGCCAUGCCGCGUGAGUGAUGAAGGCCUUAGGGUCGUAAAGCUCUUUCGCCUGUGAUGAUAAUGACAGUAGCAGGUAAAGAAACCCCGGCUAACUCCGUGCCAGCAGCCGCGGUAAUACGGAGGGGGUUAGCGUUGUUUGGAAUUACUGGGCGUAAAGCGCGCGUAGGCGGAUUAGUCAGUUAGAGGUGAAAUCCCAGGGCUCAACCCUGGAACUGCCUUUAAUACUGCUAGUCUUGAGUUCGAGAGAGGUGAGUGGAAUUCCGAGUGUAGAGGUGAAAUUCGUAGAUAUUCGGAGGAACACCAGUGGCGAAGGCGGCUCACUGGCU
rnacentral:rRNA from 1 species